rnacentral:tRNA from 1 species
GCCCGGGUGGCUCAGUGGUUGAGCGCCUGCCUGCGGCCCAGGGCGUGAUCCCAGGAUCCCGGGAUCAAGUCCCGCGUCGGGCU